CUCUGAGUGCACUUCUUCACUUGGGCGGGUUAGCGUCGAUUUUGAAUGUCAUAAAAUGACUAGGGGAGGUAGCUCCUUCGGGAGUGUUAAGCCCUUAGUAGAUGUGAUGUUCUAGAUCGAGGAUUGCAACGGAUACCCUUUGGGCUAGCCGCCUGGUCUCUAAUACGAAGUUCGGUUACGGACAGCAUGCUGACCGUGAUCUAAUUUUCGGUUAAAAGAUUAGAGCGAGUGUAAA
rnacentral:rRNA from 1 species